UACGAACGGUCCAAACGUUAUUCGGAAUCACUGGGCUUAAAGCGUCCGUAGGCGGCUCGGAAAGUCGGGUGUGAAAUCCCACGGCUCAACCGUGGAAUUGCGCUCUAAACUAUCGAGCUAGAGGGAGAUAGAGGUGAGCGGAACUGAUGGUGGAGCGGUGAAAUGCGUUGAUAUCAUCAGGAACACCGGUGGCGAAGGCGGCAUCCUGGACCGGCAUUGACGCUGAGGAGCGAAAGCUAGGGGAGCAAACGGG
rnacentral:rRNA from 1 species